UCACAAAUGAAAACUUAAAGCAACUUAAUGGGAAUUAUAAGGAACAAAGUGGGAAAUUCAUAAGCAUGAAAGAAAAGAUGUAGAAACCAUGAAUAAGAAUCAAUUGGAAACGAAGAAUGACAUUGCAGCAAUAAAGAAUACCAUGG